CUCUGGCCUUUACUUGUUCCGUAUACUUUGGUGGGUUCGAUUCCUCCAUUUCCCCGAAAGUGGGGAAUAUGACCUCCUUUCUUAUAUAUGCUUUUAAAGGCAGUUUACCGGAAAAUGUUUACAAAUUUUCAUUUGAGAGACUAAAUGUCAGUGUAGCUGUAUGCUAACUGUAUUUAGACUGUUUGUUAAUGAGGUAAGAUGAACUAUAAGGUUCAUGAGUUUAGAUGAACUAUAAGGUUCACGAGGUUAGAUGAACUAUAAGGUUCAUGAGGUUAGAUGAACUAUAAGGUUCACGAGGUCAGAUGAACUAUAAGGUUCAUGAGGUUAGAUGAACUAUAAGGUUCACGAGGUUAGAUGAACUAUAAGGUUCAUGAGGUUAGAUGAACUAUAAGGUUCACGAGGUUAGAUGAACUAUAAGGUUCACGAGGUUAGAUGAACUAUAAGGUUCACGAGGUUAGAUGAACUAUAAGGUUCACGAGGUUAGAUGAACUAUAAGGUUCAUGAGGUUAGAUGAACUAUAAGGUUCACGAGGUUAGAUGAACUAUAAGGUUCACGAGUGCCUGGCUGGACGUGGCCGACAUCACCGUUCUUGUUUACAAGACACUCGGGGGAGCGGUUAUCAUCUGUGAUCAUCACAGAUCAAGUAUGUGACACUCUCCAGGAAAUCCUAUUCCGGACCAAGAUAUGACCUUUCCUGUCAAACCGAUAACACGCCAAGCUUGUUUUUGUGCCCGUUAGUGUACACACCGUUUAUGAUAGCUUUUACAUAUAAAAUAACAAAAACAGGAAGUUUUCAAUAUUAUACUUAUUCAAAAUACAUAAAAAGGGUUGGUGUCCAAAUCUGUAUGUUUCAUAAGAAGAAAUUAGUUUAUAUCGAACCAUUCCCUUUUCAAAUUUGCUGUACAGUUAUAAUCAAUUUUGAUAUGCAUGAUGGUUUUAGCACAUAUGGAUGGUGCCACUUAGAAGAUGAAAACAUACCGAUGUUGGAAUGGUUUCUGUUAUUUUAUAAAAGCCCGAAAUAUUUCCCACAUUCAAGAUGGCGAUUCUCACAGAAAAAGAGAAAGUUGUUCACCGGAGCAAUGAAGCACUCUGAUGUUGAAGACUGGCGUUGCUAUGGCAACAGGCAUCCUCGGCUCUGUUGACGAUCCGGCUCUCGGCUAUAUUUCAGACAGAGGGCUUCAGGCCACCUCAUCCUUGAACUGGGUUACAUCAGUCAGAUGCUUCAACCUCUGUAGAGCUUCCAUUCUACACCUCUGUUCUGCAUGGAGGGACUGCUUCUGCCACUGUGUUACUCCAUGGCUGCAUCUUGCAAAUGGUAGUUUCUUUUACACGGACCAAGAAAACAACCUGUUUCGUUCAAACAAGAACACUGUACGUUUAUUGUCUAACCCAUUUAAUACUGGUUUUAUAUUCAGAAAAUCGCUAUGGGGUUGUUUUGAGUUGUGUUCUCCAGAAUAUGGCGAAAUGUGCUUUGCUAUUAUGUUGGGAAACAAUUAAUCUGUCUCCCCAUCCCGGACACUCGUAAAUCCGAAUGUAUUUAACGUAAAAUAAACGAGUGUUCUGGAGGUGAGUAUCAAAUGACACCAUUCCGUGCUUUGAAUUGUCCAUGUACUGAUAAAGAGGGCGUGACUCCCGUGAAAGAGAACCACAAUGGGUGUAUGACAACAGUCAUUACAUGUUUUGUUGAGGUUGUGUAAUUGUCAGAAACCUCACCAAUUGUAUAGAUUUUAAAGAAGAUAUUCAUUGGGAGUAACGUCACCACAUCAUAAUGGCUACAGCCAGUUUAAUAUCGAGUAACAUAAAUAUCCCGCUUUUUAUUUACGUUUGUUGAAAUUAUCAAUUUUGAAUAAUAUAAUCCCUUAAUCUCCCGUAAUCUGUGUCAGAAAAUCCGUUUUGAGUAACACAAUACAUUAAACGUCUGUGAUUUGUAUUCACAUGUUCCAUUACAGGUAACACGAUGCAUGAUA